GAAAUUUCAUUUUAGCUCAAUCUCCACCAACAAAUUUAUACUGAAGAAUUGAACUUUCGUACAUUUGAGUCACCACUGCACUGCCAUUUUGGUUCACCAUUGCCGUUCUCCCUCACUGUCGCCGGCACCGCUGUUGUUUAUUAGAGUUUCACGAUCUCACCGACUCAAAAAAAAUUACCCAAUUUAAGGGAGUCAAUUCGGGAGAGAUUCAAUAAUUUCCCAUUUCUAAUCCCUUAGAUUGGGAGACGAUUAUUGGGCUUCAUUUUGUACUUCAAAUUGAAUGGCUCAGAUUCCAAACUUAGAUAACUCUCCUCUGAAUCUCAAAUCACUCAGAUGACCACACUUAUUGAGCUACGUAUGAUUAGAACUAUAAUUUGCUUUAAUUUUUACAUUUUAAUUUGUCAUCUUUUAUAUGGAUUUGUUUGUGCAUGGAACAGUCCCACAGAGAGCUCGUAAACAACCUCAAGAACGUAAGCUCAUUCUCCAUUCACUGCGAUUUUUUUUCUUUUUGUCAUUUGCAUUGAAAACUUGAAAGGAAGAGAAUGUUUUUUAAAUUUUGAAAAUUUACCACAACAAGGCCGAGCUCUAAUUUUGUGGAAGGUUGGAACAUCUAUAUCACAAUGUUAUUAAUUUUUUUCCCCCAAGUACAUUUAUGCUGAUGAAUUAUUCACUUAUUUGAUCGUAAAGGAGUGUUGAAUUGAUUGGAUUUUUUGAUAGAUUCGGGGAAAGAAGUGCUUGGUCAUUGAUCCAAAGCUUAGUGGCUCCCUUUUCGUUGAUCAUCCAGACAUUAAUACUAAGGGUAGUCUUUUUUAAUUGUAAUGAUUUACUUCUUUUAGCAUCCAAUAGAAAAUACCUCAAAAUAAAGCAUCCCUUUUUUUUUUUCUCCUUUUCUGAUUUGAUGAAUCCAAACUUGUAUUCUAAAUUUCUAAUGAUGAUUCAAGAUAUUUUUGUUAUUUAUUUAUUUUUAAAACAGGAAGAUGGUGUCGAACUGAGGCAUCUUUCAGCAGACCUAAACUGCACCAAAGUGGUCUACCUUGUUUGUUCUCGGUUUAAUUUGAUGAGAUGCAUAUGCUCACAUGUUCAUAAUGAUACAUCUAAAGGACUUGAGAGGAAGUAUUAUAUUUGUUUUGUACCUCGCCCCGAGGUUGUUUGUGAGAAGGUACAAUCUGUUUGGAUCACAUUGGAUUUUGAUGUUAUGGUCAUAAAAUACAAAUGCGCUCAUCACUUAGAUGGUGUGAUGAAUAUUUAUGGUCAAGCUGGUGCUUGAGGAGGAGAAAGUUCAUCACUUGAUGACCAUAGGAGAAUACCCAUUCUACAUGGUUCCUUUAGACGAGGAUCUAUUAUCAUUUGAAAUUGAUUUCAGUAACAAAGUAUGGGAUAAUUUUGUUUCUUUAAGUAUGGGAUAAUUUUGUUUCUUUCUUUCUUUUUCUUCCUUCUCCUCCUCAUCAACAUCAUUCCUCAUUUAUGAACUUUUUUUUUUUUUUUUGGUUGAUGGCAGGAUUGCCAGGUUGAUGGUGAUACAAGCUGUCUUUGGCAUAUUGCUAACGCCAUUCACAAGCUUGAGGUGUGCAUGGCUUCAUGGAUCCAAUCUCUUUUAAACAAAAUAUGUUGAGAUCAAAAAGUGGUUACCAUAGUCACACGCUUUUGUAUUUAUGGGAGAGUUAUGUCUUGUAGUCUUCUUUUGGAGUGAUACCAUAUGUGAGGGCCAAAGGCAAAGCAUCAGUACGUGUUGCUGACAUUCUCAGUCACAUGCAAACAGAAGAACCAGUCAACUCUUCUGAUAUGGGUGGUCCAGAGAUAAAUACACUCAUCAUUCUUGAUAGGGAGGUGGACAUGGUUACUCCUAUGUGUUCUCAAUUAACUUAUGAAGGACUACUGGAUGAGUUUUUGCAUAUCAAUAAUGGUUCUGUGGAGCUUGAUGCAUCUAUAAUGGGCGCUCAACAACAAGAGGGAAAAAAGAUGAAAGUUCCACUUAAUUCAAGGUAGAAUGAAGUAUCUGGCUGAAAUAUUUUGUGCAAUAAUAUUCAUUUCCUUAUUUGCUUUUCCUCUCCAAUGGAUCCCUAUGUAUUCUUAGAUUUGUGUAGAUGGCUAUGGCUGCUAGAUACAACUCUACUUGAAAUGGGUCCUAACAUGUGUGAUAUUGCUUAUUAUUACUUUUAGCUUAUCAGGAAAAAAAUAUUUCUUAUUGAACGAGAAAGGGACAUUUUUUUGUUCUUUUGAUAAUUGUAUUUUAUACUAUUAUGUUGAUUGUUGGAGUGAUAUUUAUACUUAUUUACUUGCACUAUCUGGAAAAAGUAUGUGUCUAGAUGGCUGCAAAUGGUUUGACUCUCUGGUGUUUCUUAAUUUUUCAUUAACACUAAGCAUGGCUAGAAGCUUAAUGGAGGUGAAAGGAAGAGAAUGGAGGAGAAUUUGCUUUCUCUUGUUUGGCUUUUAAAUUUUUGUAGUAGGGAAAGGGGAAAGAAAGAUAACCAUUCCCUUAAUCCCUUUUUGUAAAAUGAAAUCUAUUGUGCCUCAGUUUUAGAUUGGAGUGUAAAAUUUCUCCUUAUAGGAGGGGAAGAAUGGAUAAGAUUAGAAAUGACCACAUGCGCCAAAGAGUACAUGAAAAUGUGAUAAAUUAGUGGUAGGAGGAGUGAGGAGAAAAAAGGGAAGACCUAAAAUGACAUGAAAGGAAGUAGUAUUAAAAGAUUUACAUUUUCUGAAUAUUGAUGCCUAACUGGUCUCCGAUAGAGCUGAAUGGUGAAAAAUGAUCCAUAUAACCGAGCCAGCUAGUUUGAGAUUAAAACUUUGUUGUUGUUGUUGUUUUGUUGGGAGGGGAAUAAUUUUUUUUCUUUUGUGCUUUUUACUCUUUAUCUUCUCAUAGACAAUCUAAAACUAAAUUAAAUGAUAACAAUUUUUGAGGCUUUUUAGAAUUUUCUUUCCCUCCCACCCAUUCAAACAAAAUAAAAACUGUCCAUUAUCUUCCCCUUGUUGCCUUUUAAUUCCAAACACAAUUAGGUAAGGUUUUCCUCCUCCCAUCCCAGACCCUUCCCUCCCUGUAGAAGAAGUAAAGAACCAUCCCUUGCCCUUCCCCUUCCCCUUCCCCUAAUAGCCAAUAGCCAUGCAUAAUAUAAGUGUCUGACCAUCUCCCAUGCUCUCUAUCACUGUAUCACAUAUUUUUUCCCAUCUAUCUUGGCAUAUUAAUCUAAUGCAUAUGGCUUAUUUUCAGUGACAAAUUGUUCAAGGAGACUAGGGAUCUCAAUUUUGAAGUUGUUGUCCAGGUUGAUCUUUUUUGUUUCAUAUUAUUUUUGGAAGUUUAUUUGAUUGCCUCCUCCCCCUCUUCCAGGCCUUAAUCAGUUUGUUUUCUCUAAAUUUGAGAUCACUCCCUUGGAGUUCUAUUGCCUUAGUUGUCAUCUGCAGUAUGAUUGCAGGUUCUACGACAAAAAGCAACAUCUAUGAAGCAGGACUACACAGAGAUGACAACUACUGUAUGUACAUUGUUUAGCAUCUAAAUACUCUUGUGUACACAUCUUUCAUACUUAAUUGUUAUCAACUCAAGUAGUUGCAACUGCACAAGUCAAAGAAUAUUGUAGCCAAUAUUAUUUAUGCCAGCAAUUCAGUUGAUGCAUGUGAGCCUAAUAAAUAUAACCACUAUCAGUUAGAGAUGAUUACAUAGUCUUAUCUUUAUUAUUGAUGCCUUGUCAAAACUCCAACUGUUGUAGUGCACAUCCACUCUUGUGAGAAUUGUUGUGAUAAUUUUUUUUUUAUUGCUUUUCUUUUGGAUUAGUGGAAUGGUUUUAUGUGCAAUUUCUAACUGGGUGCCAUGUAAAACAUACAGAACCAGACAGUUUCUGAGUUGAAGGAUUUU
rnacentral:misc_RNA from 1 species